rnacentral:tRNA from 1 species
AGGGGUUUAGGUUAAACUAGACCAAGAGCCUUCAAAGCUCUAAGCAAGUGAAAUACACUUAACCCCUG